CGAACCUUAGAGUAGUCCUGCGGUCCGACCACGGCUAACGUAACUUCGUUUUCUUUUUUACAUCGACGGUUCUCUCCUUUUCUGGUCGUGGGCUGCUGGAGGAGCUAGCCCCACCAUCCUCUAAUCGUGUGUGUGCUACCCAAAAUAAAAAUCUAAUGGUGUUUGUGCGGUUCUAGAAUUUCGACGGGAUACGGGUGGCGACCGAUUGCACAUGGCGGCCGGCGGCGAGCGGCUGCAGCUACAGUGCGGCGGGCGGCUGCGUGGUGAGCGGAGAGCGCGGGUAUCCUUGGCGAUGUCGACCGCCUCCUGCUCCCUCUCCAGAUCCCCUGCAUCGACCACUUCCGUGUCCGUCGCCAGCGCCCCUCCGCCGCCAAGGCCGUGGGAGCCCCUACCGAACUCCACCAUCGAGCUGCAGGGGGACGGCCGCCAUAGGAGAACCUCGAGACUCCAUUUUCGUCCAGGACUACAAACAUUUAGGUAUGACGCUCUAUUGACAGGUUCACCUUGGUUUGAAGCAUGUUAAAUAUUUCUGAUCCAACUUUUGAUUUAUUAGUGAAGCCACUGCUCCAAAUUGUAGAAAAACCAGAGCUGGCACGAAGGUGGAUGAUUUACCUGGAUCUAUUGUUUGCCAAACAAACUGUUGAGUGCUUAUAAUAGAUAACCAAUUAGUCAUCUAGUCGCCAACAGGAUUAUGUCAAAAAUCUGAAGGCUAUAUUCCAAAUUCAAGGAGAAAGUCUCGGCUGCUUAUUUCUUAUCUCUACCAAUUUGGACGAGGAAGUCUCGAUUUUUCUCUCCCAUUGUGCAUCAUUUUGGUCCGUAGUUGUUAAAUUUUACAGAUGUAAUUUUGUUGAUUUGGAAAAUGAAUCUCGUGAUAAGUAAUUCUGCUUCUUUUUUUAAAGUCUAGUGCUAGUUGGUCCUGCUCAACUAGGUUCUAUGCAAAAUACCAAAUUUAAAGAAACUAGUUACGCAAAUAACAGGUACAGAUGCUGAUACAAAUGUAAAAUGCAGAGGACAUAAAUGACAAGAGAUUAAUAGAACAACCUGCACUGUUGUAGCUCAAAAUGUUAUCUAAGCAAGGACACCAUUAGACCUUUAAUGUGUUCAUAUCCUAGACUUAGUUCACAUGAAAGUAAUAGUGCAAGACAAAAUCCAAGAAGUCAAUAUUUUCACAUUCUGCUAAAUGUUGAGAUUAGUGAAACAAACCGUAGAAAUGGCUUAUAUAGGAAGAUCCACAUAUCAUUGUUGGUUCAGAUCCAUGUAUACUCUAAGGCAUUGGGUUUUUUCAUCUUCAUCCCAUUUUGCUAUCUUGUACAGCUGUACAUUCAAGUAUGGUCAGUUUCUAAUUUCGGAAAAUUUACCACGGCCAUAGACAUACUUUUCUUUGGUCAUUUUAAUUGGUUCAUUUACCCUUUUAUAUCCAAGCCUUUUCAUAAAUUGCUUAUCCAAUCUGAUAUUCAUCACUUCCAUUUUGUCAUAUUGUCAAUAAUCGAGUUAAUAGUUCUGAAACUUUGCUUCAUAAUUAUAUGUCUAUUUUUUUCAGCUUGUAGCUGGCUUUGGCGAUGGGUACCAGCGCUUGGCUUGGGUCGGUGGCAUGACCUUUCCAUUCUAAAUUGAAGUUUGUCUCAAAAGGUCAGACUAUAUGGAGGUUGCCAUGUGAACAUGGCAAGGCAACUGAAUAAGUUUUCCAUUGACAGGCAUGAAGGCGGCAACUACUCACCAUUGCAAGGAGAAAGGCAUAGCUUCUGCUCUCAACUAAGAAGCCUGGCAGUUAUGGCAAAAGGAAAGGAACUAGCAAGUUGUUAGUGGUUAAUAGUAUAAACAUCAGUGUUUUUCACUCCGCAUACUUUGUUACACAAAUUUAUUCUAGUAUAAACUUUAUGCAAAUGUAGUUGCACCCAUAGUUCUUACAGACACGUGUGUGCAUCAGUGUAUACUAUCUACCAUGACUUGGAGGUCCUAUGUCGUGUUAUCAGAAACAUGUUUCUUUUUUCCAAGAUUGGCACCUGGAAAUCUUGGGUGACAUAAUGUAUUCAGAAUUUGAUGUAUGAGAAUUCUCUGUGUGACAUAAUUUAUCUUA